rnacentral:lncRNA from 1 species
CUGGAUAUGGUAGCGCAUGCCUGUAAUCCCAGCACUUGGGAGUCUGAGGCAGGAGGAUUGCUAUGAGUUUGAGGCCACCAUGGGCUACAAAGUGAGUUCAAGGUCAGCCUGAACUACAAAAAAAUUAAUUAAAAUAAAAGAAAGGAUUUGUUGAGGCCAAAGGCUUAAGUGAGAAGGGAAGUAACCAGCCAUUUUGUCUCCAGAAAAUGAGGGGUGAUCUGCAGAAGAACAUGGGCUCUCAGGCACUGCUUGGAAAAGGAGAAAAGGGGGGCUCGGCUUGGAGAGUUGUCAAGUUGAAUGCACACUUCUGGAGAUGGUCCUACACACACAGGCUGUGCGCAGCUGGAAGGUCCCUCUGCUCCCGCUGGGAUCCAGGUUCUGAGGCCCAGAGCAGCCCGCUGGACGGGGAGUGCAUGAAACUCGAAUCACACCAGCCGCAUGGUGUAGAUGGUGUAUUCGGUUUGAGACUCCAUUUUGGGCAUCCCACAAGUUCUUCCCAAACUGUAUCCUUGGGGCAUUUCCUGGCCUCACCUACUGCAGCCCCAGCUUCAUAAUGUGCUGAGCAAGGCCAGGGCCAGAGGCUUCAAGCAAAGGGAGUGCACAGGCUGAGGUGGUUGGAUUGAGCCUUCAGGAGUCCCCACCGGUGGAUUUCUCUGCGGGUCAUUGUGCACAGGCUUUCACCCCUGGGAAGGGCGCUCUAAAAGGUGAGGAACAUGGGGAUCUCUACUGUGAGUGGAGUCGGGCGGGGGGCGCUGGGCAGGGUAGGGUCGCGCUAGGGGGCUCUACAGGAGCCCUGCCCUCACUAUCCCGAGGCAAGCUUGCUG